rnacentral:lncRNA from 1 species
GUUAAAUAAAAAAUCGACCUGCAGUUUAAAUGUCUUGUAACCAUACUUUUUAAUUUUUCCAGCAAUAUCAUAUUACAUGCACAUAUAUUGAUUGUGCUAGAUAUCUAAGGGAUAAAUUAAAUUGAUAAGCAUACCAAAAUGAACAAAUAGUGUCUGGGCAGCCAGUCUGCUAGCAACACUUUUAAAAUCCAAUCUGUAACCAAAGAGAUCAAAUUUAAUGUACCUUUGGCGCAUCUUACACACAUAUUUGCAUUCAUGACAGACAAUACCAGAAAUACCAAACAACGAUAUGCAUGUAUGAGAAAAUAAAUAGAAAAAAGAUUAACAUUUACUUGGCAUUUUCUGUUGAUUCAAUUGACAUUUCAUUUGAAAUACAGUUGAAGAUUAAUUGUCAUUUAAAUACUGCAGGGAUUCACAUCUUUUCUUUCAUUAUGCAACAAAAUGUCACUUUUAAACGACACUGCAGAUUUUAUGGAAAUAAUAAGGAAAAAUAAAAAAGAUAAAAAAUAAUGACAUCGAUAUAAAAUUAGGGGAUGUGGUAUGCUUGCCAAUGAGACAACUAUCCAUCAUAGUCUAUAUUUGCAUUGAUAUAGUUAUUUUAUUUUCCUAAUAUUAUGACAGAAAGUAAAUGUGAUCAUAUAAUAUACAUACAUAUCAAUUGUUAUCUUUAUUAUUCAUAAUUUUAUUGAAGUCUUCGAAUAUGAUUAGAUUAUAUGAAUAUGACUUGGUAAUCAUAAGCAAAUUAUAUUUUUAUUGUUACGUGAAGUCAGGGUUGGUGCAGACUAAGUGUCAACAGGCCGAGAUCUUUACCACAAAGCAUAACCUUUCUCAUGCAAUAAAUUCAAAUUGUUGCUGAUUAUAUCAGUGGAUAAAUAAAAAUUAUAUGUAGUUGUUAAGAUCACCCCAUUCUCGCAUCAUAUGCAAAUAUAAGCGCCAUCAAUAAUAAUAAAAAAAACACCGAGUAGAAUAGUGUACCAAAUAAUACUGUUGAGAAAAGAAUAUGUGUAGAGAUCAUAGAGCUACGAACACCAUUGUGAAUGGUUAACUUGAAAAACCCUCAUGAUUUUUACAAUAUGCCGUAUUUACGCUUACUUUAGAUGAUAAUUGAUUUCAGCAGAAAUAUAGAGAAACCCUUAAACCCAUAUAAUAUUAUUCAGGAUUCGAUUUAUAAUGUUCAUUUGACAACUUUAUUUGACAUUUAAUAUGAGAAACAGUGGACAAUAUGUGAAACAGAAGGCCUUUAUUAAAAUGAGAAUUCUCAUUACAUUUUUAAUUGCUCAGUAUAUUGUUUAUGUCAAAUCGUCUGAAAUGUAAGGUUACAAACUUCUCAGGCAAAGGUAUGUGGCAUAUAUAAGGCGGUUGUGGCUAUACCCUUUAGCUGUUAUGCCCCUACUGAAAACAUCAUUUAUAUGUGUAACUGGCGCGUUUUUCUGUGUUUGUGUUAGACCAAAAAAUUGAAAUUCUAUGAUAUUUUAGACUAGAUAAACGUCUUAUCAAACUUAUGUGACAAACACAUGGUGUCUGGGUCGAAGCAAAUGGAGGUUAUUUUAC